UGUCCGUCUGUCCCCGGCCGUCUGUCCCCAUCCGUGUCCGUCUGUCUGUCCCUGUCUGUCCCCAUCCCUGUCCGUUUGUCCCCAUCCGUGUCCGCCUGUCCCUGUCCCCCUCCGUGUCCAUCUGUGUCCGUCUGUCCCCAUCCGUGUCCGUCUGUCCCCGUCCUUGUCCGUCUGUCCCCGGCCGUCUGUCCCCAUCCGUGUCCGUCUGUCCCUGUCUGUCCCCCUCCCUGUCCGUCUGUCCCCAUCCGUGUCCGUCUGUCCCUGUCCUUGUCCGUCUGUCCCUGUCCCCAUCUGUCCCUGUCCCCAUCCCUGUCCGUCUGUCCCCAUCCCGUCUGUCCCCAUCUGUGUCCGUCUGUCCCUGUCCCCGCCCCUGUCCGUCUGUCCCUGUCCGUCUGUCCCCAUCCGUGUCCGUCUCUCCCUACCCGUGUCCGUCCGUCUGUCCCCAUCCGUCUGUCCCCAUCCCUGUCCGUCUGUCUGUCCCUGUCCGUCUGUCCCCAUCCGUGUCCCUCUGUCCCCAUCCGUGUCCGUCUGUCUGUCCUCAUCCGUCCGUCCCCAUCCCUGUCCGUCUGUCUCUCCCCAUGUCCGUCCGUCUGUCCCCAUCCGUGUCCGUUUGUCCCUGUCCCCAUCCCUGUCCGUCUGUCCGUCCCCGUCUCUCUCUGUCCCCGUCCUUGUCCGUCUGUCCCCGUCCUUGUCCGUCUGUCCCCGUCCGUGUCCGUCUGUCCCUGUCCCUGCCCCUGUCCGUCUGUCCCCAUCCAUGUCCGUCUGUCCCCAUCCGUGUCUGUCUGUCCCCAGCCGUCUGUCCCCAUCCGUGUCCGUCUGUCCGUCCCUGUCUGUCCCCCUCCCUGUCCGUCUGUCCCCGUCUGUGUCUGUUUGUCCCCAUCCGUGUCCGUCUGUCCCUGGCCGUCUGUCCCCAUCCGUGUCCGUCUGUCCCCGUCCUUGUCCGUCUGUCCCUGUCCCCAUCCAUGUCCGUCUGUCCGUCCCCAUCUGUCCCUGUCCCCAUCCCUGUCCGUCUGUCCCCAUCCGUGUCCGUCCCCACGUCUCAGCCCCACGUCUCAGCCCCACGUCUCAGCCCCACAUCGCAGCCCUCAGCCCCACAUCUCAGCCCCACAUCUCAGCCCCACAUCUCAGCCCCACAUCGCAGCCC
rnacentral:lncRNA from 1 species